rfam:Felis catus isolate Cinnamon breed Abyssinian chromosome D1, whole genome shotgun sequence.
AUUUCCAAGGUGAUCCUUGGCCCACUCAAGCCUCCCUGUACCCCGUCCCCAUCUUCCCCUGGUUGCCCCCAGUACCCCACGCUUCCCUGGUUACCCCUCGGCUCCCCCGCUUCCCCAGUUUCCCCCGAACCCCCCCAUCCCACC